rnacentral:tRNA from 1 species
UGGAUAAUAAGUUAAGUUAAACUGAAUGAUUCAUGUUCAUUUUUUGUAUGUUGAAUAUACUUAUCCUU